UGGGGAAUAUUGGACAAUGGGCGAAAGCCUGAUCCAGCCAUGCCGCGUGUGUGAAGAAGGUCUUCGGAUUGUAAAGCACUUUAAGUUGGGAGGAAGGGCAUUAACCUAAUACGUUAGUGUUUUGACGUUACCGACAGAAUAAGCACCGGCUAACUCUGUGCCAGCAGCCGCGGUAAUACAGAGGGUGCAAGCGUUAAUCGGAAUUACUGGGCGUAAAGCGCGCGUAGGUGGUUUGUUAAGUUGGAUGUGAAAUCCCCGGGCUCAACCUGGGAACUGCAUUCAAAACUGACUGACUAGAGUAUGGUAGAGGGUGGUGGAAUUUCCUGUGUAGCGGUGAAAUGCGUAGAAAUAGGAAGGAACACCAGUGGCGAAGGCGACCACCUGGACUAAUACUGACACUGAGGUGCGAAAGCGUGGGGAGCAAACA
rnacentral:rRNA from 1 species